rnacentral:rRNA from 1 species
UGGGGAAUUUUGGACAAUGGGCGCAAGCCUGAUCCAGCCAUGCCGCGUGCAGGAUGAAGGCCUUCGGGUUGUAAACCGCUUUUGUCAGGGAAGAAACGAGUUUCUCUAAUACAGAGACUUAAUGACGGUACCUGAAGAAUAAGCACCGGCUAACUACGUGCCAGCAGCCGCGGUAAUACGUAGGGUGCGAGCGUUAAUCGGAAUUACUGGGCGUAAAGCGUGCGCAGGCGGUUAUAUAAGACAGAUGUGAAAUCCCCGGGCUCAACCUGGGAACUGCAUUUGUGACUGUAUAGCUAGAGUACGGCAGAGGGGGAUGGAAUUCCGCGUGUAGCAGUGAAAUGCGUAGAUAUGCGGAGGAACACCGAUGGCGAAGGCAAUCCCCUGGGCCUGUACUGAAGCUCAUGCACGAAAGCGUGGGGAGCAAACA